UACGUAGGGUGCGAGCGUUAAUCGGAAUUACUGGGCGUAAAGCGUGCGCAGGCGGUUUCUGAAGUCCGUUGUGAAAGCCCCGGGCUUAACCUGGGAAUGGCAGUGGAAACUAGGAGACUUGAAUCUGGCAGAGGGGGGUGGAAUGCCACGUGUAGCAGUGAAAUGCGUAGAGAUGUGGCGGAACACCGAUGGCGAAGGCAGCCCCUGGGUCAAGAUUGACGCUCAGGCACGAAAGCGUGGGGAGCAAACAGG
rnacentral:rRNA from 1 species